rnacentral:rRNA from 1 species
GACGAACGCUGGCGGCGUGCCUAAUACAUGCAAGUCGAACGCUGAAGGAAGGAGCUUGCUCUUUCUGGAUGAGUUGCGAACGGGUGAGUAACGCGUAGGUAACCUGCCUGGUAGCGGGGGAUAACAAUUGGAAACGAUAGCUAAUACCGCAUAAAAUUGAUUAUUGCAUGAUAGUCAAUUAAAAGGUGCAACUGCACCACUACCAGAUGGACCUGCGUUGUAUUAGCUAGUUGGUGGGGUAACGGCUCACCAAGGCGACGAUACAUAGCCGACCUGAGAGGGUGAUCGGCCACACUGGGACUGAGACACGGCCCAGACUCCUACGGGAGGCAGCAGUAGGGAAUCUUCGGCAAUGGACGGAAGUCUGACCGAGCAACGCCGCGUGAGUGAAGAAGGUUUUCGGAUCGUAAAGCUCUGUUGUAAGAGAAGAACGAGUGUGAGAGUGGAAAGUUCACACUGUGACGGUAGCUUACCAGAAAGGGACGGCUAACUACGUG